ensembl:lncRNA
CCAGUACUGAACCCUGAAUGUAUUCAGUAUUUACUGUUUUUCAUGUUAAUGUUACUCCCUCCUUCUCCAUCGUCAUGUUUUUGUCAAGUGCUUCAACUUCUUGCAUGUAAUUUAUGUUUACAGUAUUAAUUGGAGCAUCUUUAAGUUUUUUAGGUCAUUCAUCAGACACAAGGACUAAAUCCUGAAGAUGGGCGUGUGAAACAAAACCUCACCCACUUCAACAGGAUGAGACUUCAUGUGGGGUCUUUGUACUGAAGGUGACUGGUUGUACUACAUCAGGUACACUGGAACCACUCGCUCAAUGGGAGUGAAGGUCCUCCAUGGGGAAAAGGAGGUGAAAGAGGCCUUUGAGGAGGCUCACGUCAGCAGUGGGCACCGCGGCCAGAGAGACAGUCUCUCAGGUUUUACUGGCCCGGAAUGUCGGAGGACAUCAAUUUGUGGAUGUGAAAGAUGCAUGGGAGGGGAAACGUAUGCGUGUACUUGAAUCGAGGAUUGGGCCCUUAAAAAUAUUUUAUAAGGACAUUUUCUCCACUGCACCAAAGAGACCAGUAACAGAUGAGGUAAUAAACGCAUGUCUGACCCUCCUGGUCAAAGAAUUUAAUAAGGAUGGUCCAGAGAAGGCGUUUCCACUGGACUCGGGGAGGAUGAAGACUAUAUGGCAACACAAAAGUCCAACAAAAACUCAGAUCGACCUGGAGGUCUUCAAGUACAUCGUGGGGGUCAAUGAAGGUCAUCACUGGAUGCUCGUGGUGAUUAAACCAGGAGAGAGGAGAACCCUGUUCAUGGAUCCACUGGGGGAACAUGGAGAAGAUGCAGCACUGCAAGAACGUGACGAGUUUGCUGAGUGCAUUUUGGACGGUUCUCCGCUGGAGUUUCAUGAAUCACCUUCCAGCUUUAAUGCGAUUCGACGGGAGAUUGCAGUCUGUCUUCUGGAGAAUACAGGUGUCUCUUAAAAAUAUUAUACAUAUGUUGCGUGUGGCCAUGACAUCACUCACUUACUCAGACAUUCAUUCAAUCACUGUGCUGUGCCUGAACUGGCACUGGUGUCCUUUUAUGUUGAGGUCUCCAAUUUGAGCCACUGAUUCAUUAAUUUAAUUGUUUGGAGGCCGUAACAACAUAUCAUUUUAGACUGGAAACGUGUUUGCUGUACAUAUUUUCAAAACUGUCCAAAUGCUCAAAUUAACUAUGAUAGUGUUAACUCACACAAACCUUGCUCAUUAUGAGGUAAUUAUUAUCUCCUUGUUUUUGUAGAUGACUUGACUGACCUUUGUCAUCUCUGCAGGAUGGCGACACUCACUGAGUAACUGCUGAUGUUUUACAUGUUCAGCUUAAAGGAUGAUCACCACAAGGCAACAUUGCAUCACUAUCUCACCAUAAUAUUUUAGUUUUGUCUUUUGUCCAUUCAGAUUGGCUGCUGUGCCCUCGAUGGUUUCACAGGAGCUGUGCCAAGAGACCAGACCCAGAGGAUGCAAACAUUUUUCUGCCUCGCAUGCCAGUAAUAAAAUGUAUUAUUAAAAUGUUUUAAUAUUAUUUUGUUCUGAGGCUGUUUUUGUUGCAAUAUUUGAUUUUCCCGG